UGGGGAAUUUUGGACAAUGGGCGAAAGCCUGAUCCAGCAAUGCCGCGUGUGUGAAGAAGGCCUUCGGGUUGUAAAGCACUUUUGUCCGGAAAGAAAUCCUUGGCUCUAAUACAGUCGGGGGAUGACGGUACCGGAAGAAUAAGCACCGGCUAACUACGUGCCAGCAGCCGCGGUAAUACGUAGGGUGCAAGCGUUAAUCGGAAUUACUGGGCGUAAAGCGUGCGCAGGCGGUUUGCUAAGACCGAUGUGAAAUCCCCGGGCUCAACCUGGGAACUGCAUUGGUGACUGGCAGGCUAGAGUAUGGCAGAGGGGGGUAGAAUUCCACGUGUAGCAGUGAAAUGCGUAGAGAUGUGGAGGAAUACCGAUGGCGAAGGCAGCCCCCUGGGCCAAUACUGACGCUCAUGCACGAAAGCGUGGGGAGCAAACAGGAUUAGAUACCCUGGUAGUCCACGCCCUAAACGAUGUCAACUAGUUGUUGGGGAUUCAUUCCUUAGUAACGUAGCUAACGCGUGAAGUUGACCGCCUGGGGAGUACGGUCGCAAGAUUAAAACUCAAUGAAUUGACGGGGUCAUAGCUGUUUCCU
rnacentral:rRNA from 1 species